rnacentral:rRNA from 1 species
GAUGAACGCUGGCGGCGUGCCUAAUACAUGCAAGUCGAGCGAAUUGACAGAGGUGCUUGCACCUCUCGAUUUUAGCGGCGGACGGGUGAGUAACACGUGGGUAACCUACCUAUAAGACUGGGAUAACUUCGGGAAACCGGAGCUAAUACCGGAUAAUAUUUAGCUUCGCAUGAAGCAAUAGUGAAAGACGGUUCUGCUGUCACUUAUAGAUGGACCUGCGGUGUAUUAGCUAGUUGGUGAGGUAACGGCUCACCAAGGCAACGAUACAUAGCCGACCUGGGAGGGUGAGCGGCCACACUGGGGCUGAAACACGGCCCAGACGCCUACGGGAGGCAGCAGUAGGGAAUCUUCCGCAAUGGACGAAAGUCUGACGGAGCAACGCCGCGUGAGUGAAGAAGGUUUUCGGAUCGUAAAACUCUGUUGUAAGGGAAGAACAAGUACGUUAGUAACUGAACGUACCUUGACGGUACCUUACCAGAAAGCCACGGCUAACUACGUGCCAGCCGCCGCAGUAAAAC